rnacentral:rRNA from 1 species
UACGAGGGGUGCGAGCGUUGCUCGGAAUUAUUGGGCGUAAAGGGUAGGUAGGCGGUCUCGUUUGUCUGGGGUGAAAGCCUUGAGCUUAACUCAAGAAGUGCCUUAGAAACGGCGAGACUGGAGUACUGGAGAGGGUCGUGGAAUUCCCGGUGUAGCGGUGAAAUGCGUAGAGAUCGGGAGGAACACCAGAGGCGAAGGCGGCGACCUGGACAGUUACUGACGCUGAGGCGCGAAGGCUAGGGGAGCAAACGGG